rnacentral:rRNA from 1 species
GUAGCUAAAUGCGGAAGAGAUAAGUGCUGAAAGCAUCUAAGCACGAAACUUGCCCCGAGAUGAGUUCUCCCUGAGACUAUAAGUCUCCUGAAGGAACGUUAAAGACGAUGACGUUGAUAGGCCGGGUGUGUAAGCGCAGCGAUGCGUUGAGCUAACCGGUACUAAUGAACCGUGAGGCUUAACCUUAC